GGAUCUGGGAGAAACUGCGAGGGGGCAGAUGGGAAUGAGGCCUAAAAGGGGCAGCGACCCUGGGGAAGGUCACUCGCCAGGCAGGACUAAGAGGGCCCAGGGCCUGGUGCAAGGCGGGUGUGAGGGGGAGGCCUGCCUGAGCUUGUCCUGCCCUCUUAGAUUUCAAGUAGAUCCCUCUGGGCCUGGGUUGGCCUGUCCCCCUUAGCAGCGCCCCCUCUGCUCCUGGCAGCCUUAGCCCCCACCCAGAUGAGGUGGGCAGAGAGGCCUUUAUGUCAGGCCCGCACAGCACCUGCCCAGGGGCACCAUAAAUGUCUGUUGAGUUGCACUGAGCCUGGCAAGGACGGCUACCAGCUGAGAUGCAGCUCCCUUGCCCUCUGAGGAGGAUGCAAAGUACCAGUGGGCUUUCUUUGCCUUGGCUCUGCAACUGAGAGCUGGGGCAGGUGUCCAAGGUGUGCAUUCUUUCAGUUAUUUGAUAACUAUGUAGUGAUCACCUGCUAUGUGCUAGGUGCUGUUUUAGAUGCUGGCAAUACAAUGCAGACCUAAACAGACAAAAUGUCUGCCUUGGUAGAGCUUUCAUUGCAGUCAGGGAAAUAAAUAAGCAAAAUAAAGUAGUAAGUUAGAAAGUAAAGAUGGCUACUUGAAGAAACAGAGCAGGGCCAAGUGAGGAGAAUAAAGAGUUGGGGGCAAGGGGUGUGGAAGAUGCUGCAGUUUUCAGUGGGAUGUUAGCAACGGCCUCUUGGAAGUGACAUCUGAUGAAGACUCAAAGAAGGUGAGAGAGAGAGCCAUGAGGAUAUCUCUGGGGGAAGAGCAUUCUUGGCAGAGGAAACAGCAGUGCAAAGGCCCUGGGGUGAGAGCAUAUUUCGUGAGUUGGAGCGAGACCAAAGAGACCAGUGUGGCUGGAGUGGAAUGAGGGAGGUGAGGUGAAGCAGGAGAGCUCAGAGGGAGGAGGAGGCGUUUCAGUCCUUGGCGGGCCUUGUGGGCCAUUAUGAAGACCUUGGCUUUGACUCUGGUGAAGUGGGAGGUCCGUGCAGGACUUUCUGACCUCUAUUUUAGGACUCUGACUGGCUGCUGUACUGAGAACACUGCCAGUAGCUCAGGAGAGAGAUGGUUGUGGGUACACCAGGGUGAUAGCUGGGGCUGGGCUGAGGAUGUUGGAUUCCAGACACUGCAUUUGAGGAGGGAGCUGACCUUCUGGAACGCCAGGGGUGAGGAAGCGCUGUCAUCAUCCGCAUCGCCCCUUCCGGGUGCCUCACACCAGCUUUCCAAGAGUUUCACACAGGUUCAUCCGUCUCUUAUCUCCUCAGCAGCCCCAGAAGGACAGACCUUGUGGAUGGCACUUCACCACGAGGAAGCUGAACUGAGACAUUGGAUGUGAGGAGGGAAGGAGCUCGAAUGAAAGAGUGAACCAAUGAGGCGGGAGAUAUUCAACGUGUGGAAUCGGCCUGCAGGUGUUUUCCUUUAGGACUUCACACAACAGUCAGUGUUUGUGACGACUACGUCUGAGGCUUCCACCUUCACUGCAGGCCACCCUGGGAGUGGCAGACACCCAACAGAGUACUCCCGGCCAUUUGCUUGGGGCCUGAGGUCGCUGGGGUAGAGGACUCAGGAGGAGAUGCCAACAAACAUUGUCAGCCUGGCCUGCACAGAGAAGGACCCUGCUGGGCCCUCACUGUGCAGAGCCCCAGAUGGGCCCCAGGUCUCUGGACUCAGUGUCACCUCUGCAAUGUUUUGGUCCUCACCCACUGCCCGAGCUGCUCUGCCAUGGCGACCCUGGGGGCAUGCAAGCGUUGGCAUGUGGAGAAGUUCCUCCAGACUGUUCUCUAGGCACUGGUAUUACAGGUUUGACAAGGAUGGGAGAAAUCACAGCCUGUAGGCCAAACCCAGCCCUGAGGCCUGGUGAUGCCCACAGGAAAGAAGCUAAGUGGAAGAUGGCUCAGGAAAUAUGACUCCUGGCUAAUCCCUCGAGCAAAUCUGCCUUCCCAGGAGCAGUGGGGACAGGCUAAGGGCUCAGAGCAAAGAAAAUAGGAAAGCUGCCUAUUUCACGUGUGGACCACAAGAAGCAGACCAGCUUGCUCCUGUGACGGUGGAUACCUUCCUCGGAGAAAUCACAGUGGUUAAGUCAUCCAACUCUGAAAGGAAGGUGCACUAGUUAUUGGGAAAACGUAGGCGACCUGCAUUUGAGGUGACAAGCAAAGGGAAAGACAGUAGCCCUGUCAUCAGUGGACUGAUGAAAUCAACACAACUUUGCUUCGGGAAGUAUCAAGACACUUCUGAUGGACUUGACAGUACCAAGAAAUACUCCAGAGAAUGUUCAACUGCCUGAGAUGGAAGGAUGACAAUAACGUCACCCCUGUUUUGCAGCCGAGCACGUGCCUGGGCUGGCUGUUAAUCCAGGGCACUGGCUGGAGACUGGGCAAUCACGUCCACCUCAGCUCGGGCCAAGAGCUGCACACACAGCAUCCCGGACCCAAGUUACAGAAGCACAGCCCGUGAAGCACCAGCCUGCAGUUCUGAGGCUGUGGCUGGAUCCCAGAAUGGAUCAGAGGGAGACCCACGAAGGACGUGGUCCUCACAAAGCCAUCCUGCUGACGUCAUCCCACCUCACUCCCCCGUGGCCAUGAGCCUCAAACCCCGUGGGAGCCCCCCCCACCGGAAUCCCUUGUGGCGAAAGUGAACUUCUCCCGCUUGGUCAGGAGGUUUUGGGCCCAGAGAGAGGGAGGGGAGGGGGAUAGGAAUAGAGAAUGAGGGCUCUGGAAGCAGGA